rnacentral:tRNA from 2 species
AGGCGCGUAGCUCAGCUGGUUAGAGCACUACCUUGACAUGGUAGGGGUCGUUGGUUCGAAUCCAAUCGCGCCUACCA